ACCGUCUAACUUGACGGACGGUAUUCGAUGGUCAUAAACACGACCCACCUAAUUUCCAACCCUAUCUAUCCUUAUUCUCUCAUCGUCCUCUGUCUUCGUCUUCUUUCUCGCUCUUCUCUCUCGCUCUUCUCUCUCACCGUCCUAUUUUUUUCUCUCUCACCGUCGACGGUAUUCGAUGGUCAAUGGUCCGUUACCACACUUUCUCUGAUUUGAAGGAGGUUCGAUCGAUUUCUGAGCCAAUCACCGUUGCAGGUUUUCGUUUUAGGGUAAGUUCUACAAGAAGGUAAGAUCUGCGAUUAUUGACUCUUGACAGUGAUUAGUUUUUUUGUACUAAUUUUAUUGAAUUCUUUGGGAUUCAUGGGUUUUCUUUUUGGGGGAUUUUCUACUCUGUUUUAUGAAAUACGAGUAUAAUAUUUCUGGGUGUUUUUGUUUUGUGUAAAUAUGUAAUGUGUAUUUCUUUAGACGAUGAUUUCAUUUUGAAACGAAAUUUUCAUCAAUUUGGAUUAUUGGGUACAUUGAUUUUGUAAAAUAUCCACUAGAAAGAACAAAUUAAACCCAAAUUUACCAUAAUUCAUGUAUUCAAAUUAAUAACAUCGUCUGAUGGAGAAUUUUAUGAAUGCAAUCCCAUUACACAGAGUCUAGAAUCUGGAUGACAAUUUCAUGGGGAGUGGCCUGGGUGUGGCUUUUGGGACCGAGGUCUUAAUUGUAUAUUUGAUUGUAUAUUUAAGCAUCAAUGAAACGUAAUAUGAAAGAAUAAACAGCCACUUGUAAUAGUUUUUAAACCCUAAAAAGAGAUAAUAUUCCUCUAAAAGAAAUUUCAGUUUGCACUGUACUUACAGGACCACUUAUCUAGAGUUAAGAACGUUAAUAGAAAUGGUUAUGUUGUGAAAGAAGUGCAUAAGGCGAUAGUUCUUUUGAAGGGGCUAUGGGAAUUCAAUAGUAUUCACCUCUAAACUAGCAAUUAGCAAAUAUGUGAUCAAGGUUUUCGUUGCAUAGCAAGUUGGCAACAAGUAGUGUAAGUUACUAUCCUAGAGAAAAUUUAAAUUUCAAUGGAGAUAGAUGCUGGAGGCAGAACAAUUUUACUACAUGCCACCUCAUAGGUCACUAGAUUAGGAGCUUUACCUUGUAAUAGUCAGACAACAAUCUACAUUUUCAUGCCUAUCAUUUUAUUAAAGGGAAAAAGAUGAAAACGAAAUGCAAGCAAAAUUGUGGAUUGAGAUUGUCUCCCGAAAUGGAGAUGGUCUCAUUGGCAUGACAGAGAGGUCUCAAGUUUUAGUUUUUCUCCAAUCCUGAUCAUGGACUCUAUAGGGAGUGGGGGGUUAAAUCCCUCUUAGAACCUUGGAGGUGACCUUGUAUAGUUUCAUGUAUGUUGUAGAACAUCUAUAUAUAAUAAUUUUGGAAUAUCUAUCUGCAUCUCUCGAUUUUGGUGGGUGGCAAAUUAGGUAUAAUAUAAAGGGUAGUGAACUUGUCAUGUGCAAAAAUCCCUUUUUCCUGUUUGUUGUCACUAUUUGGAAUUUAAGUGACUUAAAAUUGUAGGUAAUUGUACUGCAUCGUCAUUAUAUUCGUUUUUCUUCCAAACUUUUAAGUUAAGAGUUUCACCAUUGAUGUUGUUGGUGUUAUCCAUCUGCUUUUGUUUUAUCAGAUUCCUAACUUGUAUGAAGCUUUAUAUUGGAGAUAUAUCUAUGUGGGUAUAUUUGAUUAUGUUGGCAUACCUUUUACUGUAUGUUGCCUGACAUUCUUCACUUGAAAUAACUGUUACAGGCUAAACAGAAGCGAAAGGAAGCAAAGAGGAUGUUGUUGCCAAGUGUAUAAUGGAAAGAAAGUGGUUAUUGGAUUGUUGUCGAUUCUGGUUCAGUGAUUGUUCAUGCUUUAGAUGAGAAAGCCAGAGCUUAUUACGAUUUAGAAAGUCGUUGGUCAGGGAAGAAGCCACCUGCUGACUUAAGCCAGGUAACGAUUAGCACUUAAACUGCAUGCAGUGCAACCAACAGAAGAAAUGAUUCACAAGGAGAAAGAAGAGAAGAAUUUCAAUAAAGCAAGCUUAGUUGAAGUGAGUUUUGAGGGUGCUUGGUUCACUGCAACUGUUCUUGAGGUGAUUGGGAUCUAAAAACAGAAGAUGACGAAGAGUUUGUAAGAGAAGAGGCUGAUGCCCUGCACAUCAGACCGCAUCCUCCAAAGGCAGGAAAAGUCGACAAGUUCAAGCAAUUUGAAGAAGUUGAUGCUCUUUAUAAUGAUGGGUGGUGGGUGGGCUGCAUUUCUAAAGUCCUUGGUGACUCAAAAUAUUUAGUUUUGUUCCAAAUUUUUGUUGUGGAGUUUAAAUUAGUGUACAUGUAAUUAUAUGAGAUUUGUAUUAGAUUUUGUUCUAAGUAUACUAGAAUUUAGUUCUAGAAUUAUUUUUUCACUUGUAUCUACAUUUAUUAUCAAUAAUAAUUGAAUUGAUUAA